rfam:Gordonia hirsuta DSM 44140 = NBRC 16056 DNA, contig: GOHST13.
CCGGUUCCGGUUCACAUCGAGGCCCUCCGCCCGAUGACCCGGCGACC